UAUCUGUUAACGCAGGGAAUGUUUUCUGCAGGAACUAAAAAUAAUGAGGGUAAAUUGCAAUACUAAAAUUAAGCAGAAAAAAACCCUUUUGAAGUAUUGCCCUGUAGGACUAGCUUAGACUAGUUUGGUCAGGUUUGGGAAGUGUUAGAAGAUGGAGAAGCUGAAAAUGUGGUGAAUCUUGCUUCUGACAUGACAGAAAAGGCAUUUUACCCAUCUCAUCACUGAGAGAUGUAAGACUGAGCAAGACAGAGACAAACCCUCUAAAGGAUUUUGAUGUGGAAAAAACCAUGACAAGCAGGGGAAAUGCCUGUGUUUUUUCUUUACAUUCUACUAAUGUUGUGAUUCUUAAGAAGCCAAAGAAGACUUCUUGUACUGAUUUGGCUUUUGCAUUGGAUACACACAUUUCUCUAUUUUGAAGCAUACCAGAGGGAGCAAACUAAAUGCAUUUACGUGGAGGAGGUUUCUGAGAAGACUGAUGCUGGGGUAUCACUGUAAAGGUAAAAAAAGGUCAUACGAUGAAACCCCACAGACAUUACAGACUCCACCUUAAAUUUAAUAUCCCAUGAGGACAAUAAGACCGAUAUGAUGAGAAGAAGGUGACUCCUUGGUGUUCGUACCAUUAACUGACCUAAUAAUAUAAGGAUAUCAAAAUAAAAUUGAGUCAGUACUUUAAUCAGUGAUGUUCCUGUAAUGGAAUACCCAUGGAAUGACCAUAUAAUCAUACCAUAUAACCAGCAUGUAUGUCUAUCCAUAUUUCAGCUUGGCUUUUCUAGAAGACAGAUAUUUUAUCAGGGAAGAUAUGAAACGAUUAUUUGAAUUUUAUUAAUAACUAUUUUCAGGUUACCUAGUCAAACAACACUCAGAGUCACCUACAAUACAUUGCCCACAAACUAAUUUUAUGCAAAUUACUUUAAUUUAUUAAAAAAGCAUCCCUUACUAUUGCAUCUAUAAUUCUAUCUAGCUUCCUAUAAGAUUGGACAUAAUAGGUGGAUGUCAUGAAGGAAGAAUCAUCCAUCCUCUCCAAGUUCACAGCAAAUACCAACUGUCAUUCUUUCUAGAUAAAAGUUUUAAUGUGAAAGUACUGUUACAAAUGCAAUCCAGAUUUACCCAUUAGGCAGUAACCACAAAUUCUGCUGCUGACUUUUGAAAAUUGUCCCAGGGCUGAAGAACACAGGACGUGCAUAAUAGCAUAAAGUCUAAGUAGCUGACAGGCAGAAGCACAGAUGUGAUAGUACCUCCCAGAUGCUCACAGUCCCAUUUGAGGUACAGCUGGUACUGGUGUGCUUCUGACCUGAAAGGUAGCCCAGAAGUCCCUGCUUACUUGCUUCCACCCAAAUCGUUGAGAUGAUGUAAGUCCAUCCCUUUGUCCUUCACCUUGGGGCCAAAAGUCUAUGGAAGCCAUUAAAGAAUUGCAGUGAUUCAAAUAUUUAUUUGGGGUUGAAGAAGAAUUCAGGAAAGGCUGCAAUGAACAGGAAGGGCAGGGAAAAUUUAUUGUUUAAAAAACCCAGAAAUUUUGUGUAAAAACAAACAAGAUUUUCAGCUCUAUAGCACCUUGAAACAAAAGCUCUCCUAGCUGGAUAAUCUGAGUUGAAUGUGCAAAGACUGUAGUCCCUCAGGGGGCAGCUGCACCAUGUGGAGCCUUGUCUGUGAGACACAGUCUCUUCAGGGGUGUACCUGCUCUGGCAUAGACUUAUCCACAGCCACCAUCCCUUUGAGGUGCACCUGUUCCAGCAGGGCCUUCUCCAGGGGCCAAUGCCUUCAGAAAUAGACCUGCUCCAGCAUGGCCUUACCCACAGCCACAAUCCUUUCAGAAGUAAACCUGCUCCAACCUGGCCUCACCCUUGGAUGCAGUCCCUCCAGGGGUGUUCCUGCUCUGUCGUGGUCUUACCCAUGGCCACACGCUUUGAGGUGCUCCAGCACGACCUCAUGCACAGCCACUUGUGCUACAAGCUGCACCUGCUUCAGCAUGGAUCAUCCACAACCACAGAUGCUUCCAAGAGUACCUUCUCCCGCGUGGACUUCUGCUUGGGCCACAGCCCCUUCAGAGGUACCCCUGCUGCAACACAGACGCAACCGCAGAUGCAGAGUGUCUCAUCCACAGGGGAUGGUCUCUUCGACUCAAGUUCACACUGGAGUUCCAGCCUGUCCAGGACAGCAGCACAGAACCAGCAGCAAUGCCCUGGCAACCUGCCAGCCCAGGCCCAUCACCACUGCUGUUAUCAAAAUAUUCCCAGGAACAACACUACAGCAAGGAGCGAAAGCAAGAACUGCCCGCUGAUGAACAUUGAGAUCUAAUACACAUCUGGGCAAGCAAGGCCCAUGGCAAGCACAGGAGCCUGCCAAUUGAUAGCUAAACAGCAAUAAACUAAGAUAUAAAACCAAUGUAGCAUAUUUCAAUGUCUGAAUGUCCCCUCCUUCCUUCUUGCCCCAGCUUUCUAACAAAAAAACUGCACAUUUUUUUCCAAAAAACUAAAAUCUUACUUCUUAGCAUUCUCAUUAUUACACAGUGAUAAACCUCUGAAUGUCCCCUCCUUCCUUCUUGCCCCAGCUUUCUAACAAAAAACUGCACAUUUUUUUCCAAAAAAAUAAAGCUUGCUUCUUAGCAUUCUCAUUAUCCCACAGUGAUAAACCCCUAAUCUUUCACCAGAAAUAAUUACUGAUACUAUUUGUUCAAAGUAUUCCGUACCUAUAUUAUGAGAUAAUGAAUCAUUCCUGAUAGAAUUCAAUGCAGCUUCGUAUUUGAAUGUUCCAUGAAGUGUUCAGCACAAGGACACUGUAUUUUAAAAAAAUUAUAAAACCCAACAUAUUUAGGAGCAAAUCUAGCUGAUGCUAUGCAGUGGUUGAUAUUUGAGCCAACAUGUUCACAGGCACAUAAUAGCACCAUGAAGAAACACUAGGUAAGGUUUUGAAACAGCAUAACUGCUUUCCAGCUAAUUAGUCUGAACGCAACAUGCCACCAACUGCAGUUAACAGUACUAGCUCAGUAAUACACCAGGGAUUUCUGCUCCGUUACACAGUACAGACUCCCCUGCAAUAUUGUGCAUCUUACAUUUUUCAGGUGCUUUUCCAUGUCUCCUGGUUGUACAUCAAUUUUCAUGUAUCUGCAGAUUUACACUGAAUAAUUGUAAAAAACAAAUGCUGUAUAAAGCAUCUGGAAUAUGUGCAAAAAAAAUUGGUUAAUUCUAGGUGUUUCUUAAUCUAUGGGACAUUCCUUGCAGACAUUAUGCUCUGGGGCUGGGAUCAUAGACCCAGAGAAUUAAGAUUUUGUACCACUUCCGUCCUCCUUUGAAAGAUGGGCUUGUAGGUGGAAUAAAUAAAAGAAAACAAAUUCCCUGUUAUCAUUCAUGGCUCAAGUGUGGGUAGGCUCCGCCUGCUUUCUCAUGACUUGAGGUGGGACCCUGAAUGUCAAACUUUUCUUUCCUAUUUGGCUCCCUGACCAGAGGUGGCUUCAAGGCUCAGCAAGGACUCAAGCUCUGGUUGACAGUUUUCCUGUCCUUGCAAACUGUGGCAAACACACACUUUUUGACCAUACAUAAGAGCAGUGAAGCAUCGAGGUGCUCUGGCUCGCUGCUGAAGGACUCUGGUGGCUUCCUAUGAACUGUUUUACCCCACUGUCAGACAAAUCAAGACCCGGUGUGCAACUGGGCCCAAGGGGGAAGCUGGCCCAGCAAUAAUAAAAUUAUUUUGUUACUUUUUCUUUAAGCAGGGCUUUUGGGCACAGAGCAGCUGCUCAGCAACACCACUUUGCUGUAAGGCUUUUGGUGGAGCAAACUUGGCAAUGGAACUACAAUAAAACCAGAGAAGGGACAUCCCUGAGACAGCAAACCCAAGAAGAGGAAUAGUGUUUCCUGAAUUGGCAUCACUGCACAUAAGGGAUGGAGAAGUAAGCUACAAAAGAGAUGCUGACUAUAAAACCACACCACUAUAUCCUUGGUGCUGUUUUUUAAAAGGCUUUUCUCAGUAACCCAGCUCAUGUGCCAGCUCUCUGACAAACUGUACAGUGGGCUUGUCCAUGUGGAAGUCUCCAAGAAAUAAGAUAUAACGAUUACUUGCAAUAUAAAGCACUGGUAAAUAAUUUGGCUUGAUUUAAUCUUGAUACAAUAUUUUUAAAAAGAAAAAUCAUCUGAGGGUCAAAGGCUGAAUCAGGACCCAGCUGAUCUGCAUCUUUUCCUGGGCCUUUUCAGCACAGUCCACAGCCUUGGACUAGUCACUUCAUGGCUCCAUACCUUCAUUUUCCUCUCUACAGAAUGGACUAUAGACAUUCCUGCCCUGUGAGGUGUUUCAAGGAAGUUUCAGAAGAAGGAUGCUAUUUAUGAGCAAACAGCCACCAACCAGUAAAUAACCUCAUAUUGAGUUUGAUGGCUGCCCACCAAUCAGUAUCACAAUUACCAGUGUGACUGUGUGCAGAACAUCCAGUAAUAUCUGUCUUUAGGACUGCUUUCACUCCCCUUUCACGAACAAUGCAUUAGCCUGGCAUUUUCAACCAUUCUUUCUUUGUUCUAAACAACUGCCCUCUCUAUUUUGUCUGCUUGGGCAUAAAAAUUAAAUAAACAAACCAACCUGAUCUAGUGAUGAUUCAUUUGGGGUCCAGGACCAUACAAGUGAGAAAACAUGCAGUAUUUCUUCAUGUUUAUCACCACUGGGGACUCUACCUCUUUUCCAGUGAAACCUGCUGUGUUAUGCAUGCACCUCACCUUGCCUGCACAUGGCUUUGUUUGCUUAUACUGUUCUAUGCCUAUCUGCCCCUCCUGUGUACACAUUUAUUAUAUAAAUAACUCUGACUUAGUGACUUUUCUGUGAUCUACCCAUGACACUUAACAGUAAGCUGCUCAAGUUCAAAAGUAAUGCACUGAUAUUAGACACAACGAUAAAACUCUCCCAAAACAAGAAAACAAAAACAUAUAGUGAAUGCUUGACCUUGGUGUGGUGGAAAAUCAUGUGUGUUCCCAUGGUUGUGCAGAUGCUCCAAUGGCAGUGGUGGUGCAAGCAUGACCCUGUGAUCGCCCAAGUUGAACAGAUAGGCUUCAGAGCAAGGGAUGUGGCACUGGUCUUCCAGUGUCCCUAUGAAAACAUGAGGAAACUCAAAUAAGCCAUGGAAAGAACAGAAAUAACCAGGUCACCACAUAAGGAUUUAUGACAUUGACCAUGAAAAUGCAUUGACUCUUUGGAGUGUUUAUGUGCACUCUUAACAGGAGCUAGAACAUGCUUCAAAGACUUGUACAACUCAUGGCGAAGGAAUGACAUUAAUUUGUAUUGAUCCAUUUUAAGAUAAUAUUAGGAGGAAUAUUGUUAUCCCAUAAAUACAUUCAUAGGUGUAUGCGGUUUUGACUAUCAAGCAGAUUGGCCCAAGGGGAACUAAUUGCAAAUUGGACUAUUAUCUGCGAGUCAGUGAUAUAAUG